rnacentral:tRNA from 1 species
GUCAGUGUGGCCGAGUGGUUAAGGCGAUAGACUAGAAAUCUAUUUGGUUCGCCCGCACAGGUUCGAGUCCUGUCGCUGACG